rnacentral:rRNA from 1 species
GACGAACGCUGGCGGCGUGCUUAACACAUGCAAGUCGAACGGAAAGGCCCUGCUUUUGUGGGGUGCUCGAGUGGCGAACGGGUGAGUAACACGUGAGUAACCUGCCCUUGACUUUGGGAUAACUUCAGGAAACUGGGGCUAAUACCGGAUAGGAGCUCCUGCUGCAUGGUGGGGGUUGGAAAGUGUCGGCGGUUGGGGAUGGAUUCGCGGCUUAUCAGCUUGUUGGUGAGGUAGUGGCUUACCAAGGCUUUGACGGGUAGCCGGCCUGAGAGGGUGACCGGCCACAAUGGGACUGAGAUACGGACCAGACUCCUACGGGAGGCAGCAGUGGGGAAUAUUGCACAAUGGGCGGAAGCCUGAUGCAGCAACGCCGCGUGCGGGAUGACGGCCUUCGGGUUGUAAACCGCUGUCGCCUGUGACGAAGCGUGAGUGACGGUAAUGGGUAAAGAAGCACCGGCUAACUACGUG